GGCCAGGUAGCUCAGUUGGUUAAAGCAUUGUUCUGAUACACCAAAGUCGUGGGUUCGAUCCCCGGUCAGGGCA
rnacentral:tRNA from 1 species